GGGGGUGUAGCUCAAUGGUAGAGCCCUUGCUUACCAUUCAAGAGGCCCUGGGUUGCAUCCCCA
rnacentral:tRNA from 1 species